rnacentral:misc_RNA from 1 species
UCCUCGUUUAGACGAGGCAGUCUGUCCGGAGUGCUCCGAACUCUCGUUCGGGUGGCAACAGGACACAAGGGUUGCGCUCGUUGCGGGACUUAACCCAACAUCUCACGACACGAGCUGACGACAGCCAUGCAGCACCUGUGAAGGUGCCCCGAAGGGAGACCGUGUUUCCACGGCUGUCAUCCACAUGUCAAGCCCAGGUAAGGUUCUUCGCGUUGCGUCGAAUUAAACCACAUGCUCCACCGCUUGUGCGGGCCCCCGUCAAUUCCUUUGAGUUUCAACCUUGCGGUCGUACUCCCCAGGCGGGGUACUUCCUGCGUUAGCGCCGGCACCCAGAGGGUCGCUCCCCCAGGCACCUAGUACCCAUCGUUUACGGCGUGGACUAC